rnacentral:rRNA from 1 species
GAUGAACGCUGGCGGCGUGCCUAAUACAUGCAAGUCGAGCGAACAGACGAGGAGCUUGCUCCUCUGACGUUAGCGGCGGACGGGUGAGUAACACGUGGAUAACCUACCUAUAAUACUGGGAUAACUUCGGGAAACCGGAGCUAAUACCGGAUCAUAUAUUGAACCGCAUGGUUCAAUAGUGAAAGACGGUUUUGCUGUCACUUAUAGAUGGAUCCGCGCCGCAUUAGCUAGUUGGUAAGGUAACGGCUUACCAAGGCAACGAUGCGUAGCCGACCUGAGAGGGUGAUCGGCCACACUGGAACUGAGACACGGUCCAGACUCCUACGGGAGGCAGCAGUAGGGAAUCUUCCGCAAUGGGCGAAAGCCUGACGGAGCAACGCCGCGUGAGUGAUGAAGGUCUUCGGAUCGUAAAACUCUGUUAUUAGGGAAGAACAAAUGUGUAAGUAACUAUGCACGUCUUGACGGUACCUAAUCAGAAAGCCACGGCUAACUACGUG